CCAGCCUACGGGACGCAGCAGUGGGGAAUAUUGCACAAUGGGGGAAACCCUGAUGCAGCAACGCCGCGCGAGUGAAGAAGGUUUUCGGAUUGUAAAGCUCUGUUAGCAGGGAAGAGGAAGGACGGUACCUGCAGAGGAAGCCACGGCUAACUACGUGCCAGCAGCCGCGGUAAUACGUAGGUGGCAAGCGUUGUUCGGAAUAGCUGGGCGUAAAGGAUGCGUAGGCGGUUAAACAAGUUAU
rnacentral:rRNA from 1 species